GCUGGGAAGGCAAAGGGACGU
rnacentral:miRNA from 13 species